rnacentral:misc_RNA from 1 species
GAUUUUCAUAUAUUUCACUAAUGUAUUGAUCUCCAAUUGUUUUUUCCUUUUUUUUUUUUUAAUCAGUGGUGCGUUUAGGGAGAUUGGAAAUAUUGGUUUGAGCUCCAAAUUUAGUAGGUUUGUUUGUAUAGCAUGAGGAAGGCUGAUACUGUGAAGCCUAAGCAGCUUAGUAGGCCUAUAAAAUUAAAAUUUGGCUUCUAGUCUGGCUCUGAAUUCGAUGUAGUGAUAUUCUCUUUUUUUUU